rnacentral:rRNA from 1 species
GACGAACGCUGGCGGCGUGCUUAACACAUGCAAGUCGAACGGAAAGGCCCUGCUUUUGUGGGGUGCUCGAGUGGCGAACGGGUGAGUAACACGUGAGUAACCUGCCCUUGACUUUGGGAUAACUUCAGGAAACUGGGGCUAAUACCGGAUAGGAGCUCCUGCUGCAUGGUGGGGGUUGGAAAGUUUCGGCGGUUGGGGAUGUACUCGCGGGUUAUCAGCUUGUUGGUGGGGUAGUGGCUUACCAGGGCUUUGACGGGUAGCCGGCCUGAGAGGGUGACCGGCCACAUUGGGACUGAGAUACGGCCCAGACUCCUACGGGAGGCAGCAGUGGGGAAUAUUGCACAAUGGGCGGAAGCCUGAUGCAGCAACGCCGUGUGCGGGAUGACGGCCUUCGGGUUGUAAACCGCUUUCGCCUGUGACGAAGCGUGAGUGACGGUAAUGGGUAAAGAAGCACCGGCUAACUACGUG